rnacentral:rRNA from 1 species
CUGGCGGUGUGCUUAACACAUGCAAGUGGUGCGACGAUCCAGAGCUUGCUCUGGGGCAAAGCCGCGAACGGGUGAGUAACACGUGGGUAAUCUACCCCGAUGACCGGGACAACCCGAGGAAACUCGGGCUAAUACCGGAUGUGGUACGGAGACAUAAGUCUCUUUACUAAAGGUAGCUUCGGCUUCCGCAUUGGGAGGGGCCCGCGGCCCAUUAGCUAGUUGGUGGGGUCAAGGCCUACCAAGGCAACGAUGGGUAGCUGGUCUGAGAGGACGAUCAGCCACACUGGGACUGAGACACGGCCCAGACUCCUACGGGAGGCAGCAGUGGGGAAUCUUGCGCAAUGCGCGAAAGCGUGACGCAGCAACACCGCGUGAGGGAAGACGGCCUUAGGGUUGUAAACCUCUUUCAGAUGGGACGAAGGUGAUGCGGUGAAUAGCCGAUGUCAUUGACGGUACCGUCAGAAGAAGCUCCGGCUAACUACGUG